UACGGAGGGUGCAAACGUUGCUCGGAAUCAUUGGGCGUAAAGCGCACGUAGGCGGCCCAGCAAGUCGGGUGUGAAAGCCCUCGGCUUAACCGAGGAAGUGCAUUCGAAACUACUGAGCUUGAAUACUGGAGAGGAUCGCGGAAUUCCCGGUGUAGAGGUGAAAUUCGUAGAUAUCGGGAGGAACACCGGUGGCGAAGGCGGGUCUCUGGGCCGAUACUGACGCUGAGGAGCGAAAGCGUGGGGAGCGAACAGG
rnacentral:rRNA from 1 species